rnacentral:rRNA from 1 species
AACGAACGCUGGCGGCAUGCCUAACACAUGCAAGUCGAACGAGACCUUCGGGUCUAGUGGCGCACGGGUGCGUAACGCGUGGGAACCUGCCCUUAGGUUCGGAAUAACUCCCCGAAAGGGGUGCUAAUACCGGAUAAUGUCUUCGGACCAAAGAUUUAUCGCCUUUGGAUGGGCCCGCGUUGGAUUAGCUAGUUGGUAGGGUAAAAGCCUACCAAGGCGACGAUACAUAGCUGGUUUGAGAGGAUGAUCAGCCACACUGGGACUGAGACACGGCCCAGAAUCCUACGGGAGGCAGCAGUGGGGAAUAUUGGAAAAUGGGGGAAAGCAUGAUCCAGCAAGGCCGCGUGAGUGAUGAAGGUCUGAGGGUUGUAAAGCUCUUUUACCCGGGAUGAUAAUGACAGUACCGGGAGAAUAAGCUCCGGCUAACUCCGUG